UAUAAUUAAUUCUUCUUUUGGGGCCGGCCUGCCUUUUUGACUUUUUGUUUUUCACUGUCAUGCUGAUCACGACUCUCGUAAGCUAGCUAGGUUUUUCCUUUACAUAUCAAUUUUGAUGCAUUUAUAUAUAUAUAUAUAUAUAUUUUCCUGAUUUGAAGAAGAAGAAGAAGCAGAAGAAGAAGGAGGAGGAGGAGGAGACGAGGAAAGGAAGAAUAUAGAAGGUCGUAGCAUGCUUUUCCACGGCUUUCUUGAACUUGGUACUUUUAGGUCUUGCUGCUUUUAACUUCGUACGUCGGUCCUAUCCAUUAUUUAAGCACUAAGCUCAAGAAAGCCGUGGGAAAACAUGAAAGGAUUUUGCUGCACGCACCUCACCAAAUCACUCAUCAUAUAUGGCCCCCACAGAGCAACAAGUAGAAUCAAGAUAUGAUGAUCAGUACAAUUAUUAGCAAUUAGAUUUUCCAUCUCCUUGCUUCUUGUUUUGGAUGGCGCCCGUCAAUGGGAUCGGUGUAAGGGUUCGUGCGAUCGAUUUUGGGGGAGCAAGCUAGGCCCAGGGGAAAGAGGGACUUAAACCAGAAUUAGUGUAAUUUUUCUUUUUUUAGUAAAUGUUAAUCUGAUGUGGAUCUUAUUAGCUAGAUACGUAUAAUUGAUGUUGAUUAAAUCCUGCUUAAUUAAUAGGAUAAAUAAUGCGGCACAUGAGACACUUGUCAGAUUUUGAGAGGCCUUGGCGCAAAAUGCCGUUUAAGUUAUUGGACGAAACAUGACUAUAUUUGAUAGAGGCAAAACACAUGUAGUGAAAAAUUAUUUAACGCAAUUAAUUUAGUGGAGCUGAUCAUAUUUGAAAA